rnacentral:rRNA from 1 species
AACGCGAAGAACCUUACCUGGGCUCGAAAUGUUAUGGACCGGAGUAGAAAUAUUCCUUUCCCGCAAGGGACCGUAAUAUAGGUGCUGCAUGGCUGUCGUCAGCUCGUGUCGUGAGAUGUUGGGUUAAGUCCCGCAACGAGCGCAACCCUUAUCUUCAGUUGCUACCAUUUAGUUGAGCACUCUGACGAAACCGCCUCGGAUAACGGGGAGGAAGGUGGGGAUGACGUCAAGUCCUCAUGGCCUUUAUGUCCAGGGCUACACACGUGCUACAAUGGCCGGUACAAACCGUCGCAAACCCGUGAGGGGGAGCUAAUCGGAAAAAGCCGGCCUCAGUUCGGAUUGGAGUCUGCAACUCGACUCCAUGAAGCUGGAAUCGCUAGUAAUCGCGGAUCAGAAUGCCGCGGUGAAUACGUUCCCGGGCCUUGUACACACCGCUAGUC